rnacentral:rRNA from 1 species
AGAGUUUGAUCAUGGCUCAGAACGAACGCUGGCGGCAGGCCUAAACAUGCAAGUCGAGCGCUGUAGCAAUACAGAGCGGCGCACGGUGAGUAACACGUGGGAACGUGCCCUUGUUCGGAAUAACUCAGGAAACUUGAGCUAAUACCGGAUGGCCCUAACGGGGAAAGAUUAUCGCCGAACGGCCCGCGUUGGAUAGCUAGUUGGUGGGGUAAAAGCCUACCAAGGCAACGAUCCAUAGCUGGUUGAGAGGACGACCAGCCACACUGGGACUGAGACACGGCAGACUCCUACGGGAGGCAGCAGUGGGGAAUCUUGGACAAUGGGGGAAACCCUGAUCCAGCCAUGCCGCGUGAGUGAUGAAGGCCCUAGGGUUGUAAAACUCUUCGCGGACAUAAUGACGGUACCCGCAGAAGAAGCUCCGGCU